AAGUCGUAACAAGGUUUCCGUAGGUGAACCUGCGGAAGGAUCAUUAAAGAAAUAAACCUGGCUUGAAUUGUAGCUGACUCUCUCUAGAGUAUGUGCACAUUCUUGUCGUCUUUAUAUCUCCACCUGUGCACCUUUUGUAGAUCAAUGGGGAUGCGAACUUUCUGAGGCUUGAGCAAAGCCUUCAGGUUAUAUGAGGAUCGACGGAGUCGCAAAGAUACCGGCUUUCCUUGGAAGCAUCUUCAUUGUCUAUGUCUUUUUUCAUAUACACCAAUGAAUGUAAUAGAAUGAAUUUAAAUGGGUCUUUGUUACCUAUAAUAAAGUUUAUACAACUUUCAGCAACGGAUCUCUUGGCUCUC
rnacentral:misc_RNA from 1 species